rnacentral:rRNA from 1 species
AAUCAACGCUGGCGGCGCGCUUAACACAUGCAAGUCGAACGAGAAAGGGAGCAAUCCUGAGUAAAGUGGCGUACUGGUGAGUAACACGUGGAUAUCUACCUCUUGGUGGGAAUAACCUGGGGAAACCUGGGCUAAUACCGCAUAAGUUCGUGAGAAGAAAGGCGCAAGUCGCCGAGAGAGGAGUCCGCGGUCGAUUAGGUAGUUGGCAGGGUAAAAGCCUACCAAGCCGAAGAUCGAUAGCCGGCCUGAGAGGGCACACGGCCACACUGGCACUGAAACACGGGCCAGACUCCUACGGGAGGCAGCAGUGGGAAUCUUGCACAAUGGGGGAAACCCUGAUGCAGCGACGCCGCGUGAGCGAUGAAGCCCUUCGGGGUGUAAAGCUCUUUUACCAGGGAUGAUAAUGACAGUACCUGGAGAAUAAGCUCCGGCUAACUCCGUGCCAGCAGCCGCGGUAAU